AUUGAACGCUGGCGGCAUGCUUUACACAUGCAAGUCGAACGGCAGCGCGGGCUUCGGCCUGGCGGCGAGUGGCGAACGGGUGAGUAAUGCAUCGGAACGUGCCCAGUAGUGGGGGAUAGCGCGGCGAAAGCCGGAUUAAUACCGCAUACGACCUGAGGGUGAAAGCGGGGGACCGAAAGGCCUCGCGCUAUUGGAGCGGCCGAUGUCGGAUUAGCUAGUUGGUGGGGUAAAGGCUUACCAAGGCGACGAUCCGUAGCUGGUCUGAGAGGACGACCAGCCACACUGGGACUGAGACACGGCCCAGACUCCUACGGGAGGCAGCAGUGGGGAAUUUUGGACAAUGGGGGCAACCCUGAUCCAGCCAUGCCGCGUGCGGGAAGAAGGCCUUCGGGUUGUAAACCGCUUUUGUUCGGGAAGAAAUCCUCUGGGCUAAUACCCCGGGGGGAUGACGGUACCGGAAGAAUAAGCACCGGCUAACUACGUG
rnacentral:rRNA from 1 species